rnacentral:rRNA from 1 species
AGUGAACGCUGGCGGUAGGCCUAACACAUGCAAGUCGAACGGCAGCACAGUAAGAGCUUGCUCUUACGGGUGGCGAGUGGCGGACGGGCGAGGAAUACAUCGGAAUCUACUUUUUCGUGGGGGAUAACGUAGGGAAACUUACGCUAAUACCGCAUACGACCUACGGGUGAAAGCAGGGGAUCUUCGGACCUUGCGCGAUUGAAUGAGCCGAUGUCGGAUUAGCUAGUUGGCGGGGUAAAGGCCCACCAAGGCGACGAUCCGUAGCUGGUCUGAGAGGAUGAUCAGCCACACUGGAAGUGAGACACGGUCCAGACUCCGACGGUAGGCAGCAGUGGGGAAUAUUGGACAAUGGGCGCAAGCCUGAUCCAGCCAUACCGCGUGGGUGAAGAAGGCCUUCGGGUUGGAAAGCCCUUUUGUUGGGAAAGAAAAGCAGCAGGUUAAUACCCCGCUGUUCUGACGGUACCCAAAGAAUAAGCACCGGCUAACUUCGUG